ACGUAGGGUGCGAGCGUUAAUCGGAAUUACUGGGCGUAAAGCGUACGCAGGCGGCUGGGUAAGACAGGUGUGAAAUCCCCGGGCUUAACCUGGGAAUGGCAUUUGUGACUGCCUAGCUAGAGUUUGUCAGAGGGGGGUGGAAUUCCACGUGUAGCAGUGAAAUGCGUAGAGAUCCGGAGGAACCCCAGUGGCGAAGGCGACCUGCUGGGCCUUGCCUGACGCUCAGACGCGAAAGCGUGGGGAGCAAACGG
rnacentral:rRNA from 1 species